GUGAACGCUGGCGGUAGGCCUAACACAUUCAAGUCGAACGGCAGCACCGUAAGAGCUUGCUCUUACGGGUGGCGAGUGGCGGACGAGUGAGGAAUACAUCGGAAUCUACUUUUUCGUGGGGGAUAACGUAGGGAAACUUACGCUAAUACCGCAUACUACCUACGGGUGAAAGCAGGGGAUCUUCGGACCUUGCGCGAUUGAAUGAGCCGAUGUCGGAUUAGAUAGUUGGCGGGGUAAAGGCCCACCAAGGCGACGAUCCGUAGCUGGUCUGAGAGGAUGAUCAGCCACACUGGAACUGAGACACGGUCCAGACUCCUACGGGAGGCAGCAGUGGGGAAUAUUGGACAAUGGGCGCAAGCCUGAUCCAGCCAUACCGCGUGGGUGAAGAAGGCCUUCGGGUUGUAAAGCCCUUUUGUUGGGAAAGAAAAGCAGCAGGUUAAUACCCCGCUGUUCUGACGGUACCCAAAGAAUAAGCACCGGCUAACUUCGUG
rnacentral:rRNA from 1 species